rnacentral:rRNA from 1 species
UACGUAGGGGGCGAGCGUUGUCCGGAUUUAUUGGGCGUAAAGAGCUCGUAGGCGGUUUGGUAAGUUGGAUGUGAAAUCUCCAGGCUCAACUUGGAGGGGUCAUUCGAUACUGCCAUGACUAGAGUUCGGUAGGGGAGUGUGGAAUUCCUGGUGGAGCGGUGAAAUGCGCAGAUAUCGUCUGGAACGCCAAAGGUGAAGACAGUCUGCUGGGGACUUGCUGACGCUGAGACACGAAAGCCAGGGGAGCGAACGGG